UACGUAGGGUGCAAGCGUUAAUCGGAAUUACUGGGCGUAAAGCGUGCGCAGGCGGCUUUGCAAGACAGAUGUGAAAGCCCCGGGCUCAACCUGGGAAUGGCAUUUGGGACUGCAAGGCUGGAGUAUGGCAGAGGAGACUAGAAUUCCUGGUGUAGCAGUGAAAUGCGUAGAUAUCAGGAGGAAUACCGAUGGCGAAGGCAGGUCUCUGGGCCAAUACUGACGCUCAUGCACGAAAGCGUGGGGAGCAAACAGGA
rnacentral:rRNA from 1 species